rnacentral:pre_miRNA from 1 species
CAACUACUCCCUCUGUCCCAAAUUUCUUGUCUUAGAUUUGUCUAGAUACGGAUGUAUCUAAUACUAAAAUGUGACUUGAUACAUCCAUAUCUAGACAAAUCUAAGACCAGAAUUUUGGGACGGAGGGAGUACUUU